CAGAGAGUGAAAACUCCCUAUAACCAACUGUUUAUCUACCUGUUUGUUGCUUCGGCAGGCGGUCGUCCCGGGGGGGACUGUACCUGGCAAAGGCGCCUGCCGAGGGCACCCAGAACUCCUGCUGUCAGUUGUCAUCUGAGCUGUAAACAGAAUGAAUCA
rnacentral:misc_RNA from 1 species